AACGCUAGCUACAGGCUUAACACAUGCAAGUCGAGGGGCAGCAUUCCAGUUUGCUUGCAAACUGGAGAUGGCGACCGGCGCACGGGUGAGUAACACGUAUCCAACCUGCCGAUAACUCGGGGAUAGCCUUUCGAAAGAAAGAUUAAUACCCGAUGGCAUAAUAGAACCGCAUGGUUUGAUUAUUAAAGAAUUUCGGUUAUCGAUGGGGAUGCGUUCCAUUAGGCAGUUGGUGGGGUAACGGCCCACCAAACCUACGAUGGAUAGGGGUUCUGAGAGGAAGGUCCCCCACAUUGGAACUGAGACACGGUCCAAACUCCUACGGGAGGCAGCAGUGAGGAAUAUGGUCAAUGGGCGAUAGCCUGAACCAGCCAAGUAGCGUGAAGGAUGACUGCCCUAUGGGUUGUAAACUUCUUUUAUAAGGGAAUAAAGUGGAGUUUGUAUACUCUUUUGUAUGUACCUUAUGAAUAAGGAUCGGCUAACUCCGUGCCAGCAGCCGCGGUAAUACGGAGGAUCCGAGCGUUAUCCGGAUUUAUUGGGUUUAAAGGGAGCGUAGGCGGAUGUUUAAGUCAGUUGUGAAAGUUUGCGGCUCAACCGUAAAAUUGCAGUUGAUACUGGAUAUCUUGAGUGCAGUUGAGGCAGGCGGAAUUCGUGGUGUAGCGGUGAAAUGCUUAGAUAUCACGAAGAACUCCGAUUG
rnacentral:rRNA from 1 species